rnacentral:rRNA from 1 species
UGCAGUCGACGCACUUUCGUUAUUGAUUUUGAGAUGCUUGCAUCGAAGAUGAUUUUAACUAUAAAGUGAGUGGCGAACGGGUGAGUAACACGUGGGUAACCUGCCCAGAAGUGGGGGAUAACACCUGGAAACAGAUGCUAAUACCGCAUAACAAAAUUAACCGCAUGGUUGAUUUUUAAAAGAUGGCUUCGGCUAUCACUUCUGGAUGGACCCGCGGCGUAUUAGCUAGUUGGUGAGAUAAAGGCUCACCAAGGCAGUGAUACGUAGCCGACCUGAGAGGGUAAUCGGCCACAUUGGGACUGAGACACGGCCCAGACUCCUACGGGAGGCAGCAGUAGGGAAUCUUCCACAAUGGACGCAAGUCUGAUGGAGCAACGCCGCGUGAGUGAUGAAGGCUUUCGGGUCGUAAAACUCUGUUGUUGGAGAAGAACGUGUGUGAGAGUAACUGCUCAUGCAGUGACGGUAUCCAACCAGAAAGCCACGGCUAACUACGUGCCAGCAGCCGCGGUAAUACGUAGGUGGCAAGCGUUAUCCGGAUUUAUUGGGCGUAAAGCGAGCGCAGGCGGUCUUUUAAGUCUAAUGUGAAAGCCUUCGGCUUAACCGAAGAAGUGCAUUGGAAACUGGGAGACUUGAGUGCAGAAGAGGAGAGUGGAACUCCAUGUGUAGCGGUGAAAUGCGUAGAUAUAUGGAAGAACACCAGUGGCGAAGGCGGCUCUCUGGUCUGCAACUGACGCUGAGGCUCGAAAGCAUGGGUAGCGAACAGGAUUAGAUACCCUGGUAGUCCAUGCGUAACGAUGAAUGCU